ACUCCUACGGGAGGCAGCAGUGGGGAAUAUUGCACAAUGGGCGCAAGCCUGAUGCAGCCAUGCCGCGUGUAUGAAGAAGGCCUUCGGGUUGUAAAGUACUUUCAGCAGUGAGGAAGGCGGGGCAUGUUAAAUAGCAUGCUCGUUUUGACGUUAGCUGCAGAAGAAGCACCGGCUAACUCCGUGCCAGCAGCCGCGGUAAUACGGAGGGUGCGAGCGUUAAUCGGAAUUACUGGGCGUAAAGCGCAUGCAGGUGGUUUGUUAAGUCAGAUGUGAAAGCCCGGGGCUCAACCUCGGAAUUGCAUUUGAAACUGGCAGACUAGAGUACUGUAGAGGGGGGUAGAAUUUCAGGUGUAGCGGUGAAAUGCGUAGAGAUCUGAAGGAAUACCGGUGGCGAAGGCGGCCCCCUGGACAGAUACUGACACUCAGAUGCGAAAGCGUGGGGAGCAAACAGGAUUAGAUACCCUGGUAGCUACGAGU
rnacentral:rRNA from 1 species